GUGGGGAAUAUUGCGCAAUGGGCGAAAGCCUGACGCAGCCACGCCGUGUGUGUGAUGAAGGCCUUCGGGUCGUAAAGCACUGUCAGGACCCAAGACGGCGGACCGGGAACAACACCCCGGGCCGCUGACGGUAAGUCCAAAGGAAGCACCGGCUAACUCUGUGCCAGCAGCCGCGGUAAGACAGAGGGUGCAAGCGUUGUUCGGAAUUAUUGGGCGUAAAGCGCACGUAGGCGGUUUGGUAAGUCGGGUGUGAAAGCCCGGGGCUCAACCCCGGAAGGGCACUCGAAACUGCCUGACUUGAGUCCCGGAGAGGGUGGUGGAAUUCCUGGUGUAGAGGUGAAAUUCGUAGAUAUCAGGAGGAACACCGGUGGCGAAGGCGACCACCUGGACGGAGACUGACGCUGAGGUGCGAAAGCGUGGGGAGCAAACAGGAUUAGAAACCCUAGUAGUCC
rnacentral:rRNA from 1 species